rnacentral:rRNA from 1 species
AAUCAACGCUGGCGGCGUGCCUCAGACAUGCAAGUCGAACGAUUAAGACUUCCUUCGGGAAGUGCAUAAAGUGGCGCACGGGUGAGUAACACGUAAGUAAUCUACCUUUGAGUGGGGAAUAACCCGGGGAAACCCGAGCUAAUACCGCAUAAUGCAGCGGCAUCGCAAGAUGACAGUUGUUAAAGGAGCAAUCCGCUUAAAGAGGAGCUUGCGGCAGAUUAGCUAGUUGGUAAGGUAAUGGCUUACCAAGGCAACGAUCUGUAUCCGGUCUAAGAGGACGGUCGGACACACUGACACUGAAUAACGGGUCAGACUCCUACGGGAGGCAGCAGUCGGGAAUUUUGGGCAAUGGGCGAAAGCCUGACCCAGCAACGCCGCGUGAAGGAUGAAGUAUUUCGGUAUGUAAACUUCGAAAGAAUAGGAAGAAUAAAUGACGGUACUAUUUAUAAGCUCCGGCUAACUACGUGCCAGCAGCCGCGGUAAAAC